rnacentral:rRNA from 1 species
GACGAACGCUGGCGGCGUGCUUAACACAUGCAAGUCGAACGGAAAGGCCCUGCUUUUGUGGGGUGCUCGAGUGGCGAACGGGUGAGUAACACGUGAGUAACCUGCCCUUGACUUUGGGAUAACUUCAGGAAACUGGGGCUAAUACCGGAUAUGAGCUCCUGCUGCAUGGUGGGGGUUGGAAAGUGUCGGCGGUUGGGGAUGGACUCGCGGCUUAUCAGCUUGUUGGUGGGGUAGUGGCUUACCAAGGCUUUGACGGGUAGCCGGCCUGAGAGGGUGACCGGCCACAUUGGGACUGAGAUACGGCCCAGACUCCUACGGGAGGCAGCAGUGGGGAAUAUUGCACAAUGGGCGGAAGCCUGAUGCAGCAACGCCGCGUGCGGGAUGACGGCCUUCGGGUUGUAAACCGCUUUCGCCUGUGACGAAGCGUGAGUGACGGUAAUGGGUAAAGAAGCACCGGCUAACUACGUG